AUUGAACGCUGGCGGCAGGCCUAACACAUGCAAGUCGAAUGGUAACAGGAAACAGCUUGCUGUUUCGCUGACGAGUGGCGGACGGGUGAGUAAUGUCUGGGAAACUGCCUGAUGGAGGGGGAUAACUACUGGAAACGGUAGCUAAUACCGCAUAACGUCGCAAGACCAAAGAGGGGGACCUUCGGGCCUCUUGCCAUCAGAUGUGCCCAGAUGGGAUUAGCUAGUAGGUGGGGUAACGGCUCACCUAGGCGACGAUCCCUAGCUGGUCUGAGAGGAUGACCAGCCACACUGGAACUGAGACACGGUCCAGACUCCUACGGGAGGCAGCAGUGGGGAAUAUUGCACAAUGGGCGCAAGCCUGAUGCAGCCAUGCCGCGUGUAUGAAGAAGGCCUUCGGGUUGUAAAGUACUUUCAGCGGGGAGGAAGGGAGUAAAGUUAAUACCUUUACUCAUUGACGUUACCCGCAGAAGAAGCACCGGCUAACUCCGUG
rnacentral:rRNA from 1 species